AGCCCUGAAGUAGUUAAUUACAUUGGAUUGCAAAUCCAAAGACGGAGGUUAGGACCUCCCGGGGCUU
rnacentral:tRNA from 1 species